AAUAAGGUCAUUUUUCAGUUUUUAGAUACAAUGUUUUGAUUCUUUGUCUUAUUUGAAAUAUUUUUGUGAUUAAUAUUUUUAUUGUUAUUAGAUGAUAAAAUAUGAAUAAUACUUUACGGAUGACUAAUUUUUUUAAGCUUUUGUACAAAAUUUUCAAAUAAGACGAAUGGUCAAAGCAUUGGGCACAAAAAUCGAAAAAUAACGUUAUU
rnacentral:pre_miRNA from 1 species